GAUUGUAAAUAGUCCUUUAAGUGAAUUGCUCAGAAUUAGGGAGAAUGCUGGUAGCUGGGUUGGGACUGCAGCUUCUUUCGGAUUUAAGUCUAACGAUGUAACCUGUUUAUUAUCACCUUACGUAGCGCUCUAGUGAUGAUACAUGGCCCAGCUUGGAGUGAUGAGAGUGAUGACCUCCUAGUAUAAGAUGUGCUUCUGAAUUGGGAACCUUCUAACAAAUCUCGGAUCACCUUCCCCUGCAAGAUCUGGCCUGCUUAUGAGCAUGGAGAAACCGCUGAAGAAGUGUCGUCUUUAGAAAGUCCCAGUGACAUGUCUGUGUCUGAGGAAAGCAAGAUGCUCAGAUGCUGGUGUAUGGGAAGCUGUCUGACCUUGGGGCAGUUGUUGCAACACCAGCCUCUUCCACGCAGUUGCGUUCCAGCGAUCUUGCUCUGAAGCACAAGUAUCUUGUACUCCCUGUGGAGCUCUGUGUUAGGAUUUAUGUCAGCAAGUCUUGCUGGCCAAGGUGGUCUCCAGCCCUUCGAAGUCACAUUUCAAGUCACUGAGCUCAUCUUCCAGCAUCUGUGUGCUACUGCUCCUGACAGCUCUGUCAUAGCGGGGAUUCGGCUCGGUAGGUCGGUCUUUGAUUUUUGUCAUUUGGGGCAGCCACUCCUCAGCACCCAAGAAGUUCUCUCAUUCUUUGUGAAGGGAUGGGAAUCCAGAAUGCAUCCCAUGAAACAUCUUGCUGUCUGUGGCAGGAGUUGCAGCAGCAAGCCUCUAUUUGCAAGAAAUGCAAGUUUUGCCUCGUUGGCAGAGUUUAUUGAAGAUUUCUUUAACAUAACUAGUCAUAAAUGA
rnacentral:lncRNA from 1 species